CGAGUAAACUGGGCGAUCGCGGGCGAUGAUCCGAAAGGAUUCGCACGAGGAAAGUCCGGGCUCCACAGGACGAGGGUGCCGGGUAACUCCCGGUGAAGGCGACUUUAAGGACAGUGCAACAGAAAGUAAACCGCCGUCGUGUCGAUGACAUGACGGUAAGGGUGAAACGGCGGGGUAAGAGCCCACCGGCGGGACGGAGACGUUUCGGCCAUGUAAACCCCACCCGGAGCAACGCCGCGGCGAGACAAUAACUGUGGUCCGCAGGUCUCAUGGAGGCGGCUUGAAUCGGCGGGAAACCGCCGAUCUAGACAGAUGAUCGCUCAAGACAGAACCCGGCUUACAGGUUUACUCGGAAA
rnacentral:RNase_P_RNA from 1 species